rnacentral:rRNA from 1 species
AUUGCACGCUGGCGGCAGGCCUAACACAUGCAAGUCGAACGAGUGGCGGACGGGUGAGGAAUGUCUGGGAAACUGCCUGAUGGAGGGGGAUAACUACUGGAAACGGGAGCUAAUACCGCAUACCAUCGGAUGUGCCCCGUGGGGAUUAGCUAGUAGGGUGGGUACGGGCUCACCUAGGCGACGAUCCCUAACUGGUCUGAGAGGAUGACCAGCCACACUGGAACGGAGACACGGUCCAGACUCCUACGGGAGGCAGCAGUGGGGAAUAUUGCACAAUGGGCUCAAGCCUGAUGCAGCCAUGCCGCGUGUAUGAAGAAGGCCUUCGGGUUGUAAAGUACUUUCAGCGGGGAGGCGUUACCCGCAGAAGAAGCACCGGCUAACUCCGUGCCAGCCGCCGCGGUAAUUC